GCUACACAGAUGGAGAAAUUAAUCAUUUAAGGGAAAAACGAGAUGUGAACACGGAUAUACUAGAAUACAUUGUAAUCAUAGAGGUGAAUGUGUCACAAGCGAUUUUGUUUGAGCAAAUCAAAUCAUCAUUGGAGUCCAUCAGUAGUUUCCAAAUAGACAACACCACAGAAAUCGAAAGCGUGAACAUUACAACAGUGUGUCACCCAAAUGGUUCUGAAUAUCAGUGCAUUUGUGAGGAUCAGUAUUUUUGGUCAUUUAAUAACUGCAUUGUGCAUAACGCCUGCAAUGACCUAUAUGAAGGAGUAUGUACCUGUAUCGAUGUCUUUCCCAGUGAUGGACAGAUGUGUGUGACAACAAGUGAACUACGAUUAUUUGAUAUUCUGGUUGAAAUUGAGCUGAAUACCACAAGCACAACAAUGCUCGAUGAACUGAGAAACCGUUUUG